UUCUUUACAGUUAAAUGCGCUACAAGAGUAUCAUAGGUUACCUAACAAUUAUUUCACGGACUAUUACUUUAAGAAAAUAAAAAAUUUUUUUCUUUGUUUGACUUGGCUGAAGAUAAAUUUGUUCUUUUUAAGCGUGAACGUAUGUGAAUAAAUACUCACCACUACUUUUUUCGUUCCAAAGUUUUAAUAUAUUACUUUCAAGGUUCUCAACAUGUAUAGGUUAUCAGAACAAACAAAUGAGAAAAUUAUUUUUAUACUGUUGCUUGUAGAACUGCCUUGAAGUUUUAUAUUCAACGCACAACGUAGAAGAAUAUUUGUUAUCCUUCUUGGUAGAACGUUUAAGAUUUAUCUCUGUAAAUAUGUUUCUUGAUUUAUUUUCUGAUCACGCGCCUUUGUUCAGCUUUCAGUCAAUUGUACGGUUCAAAACAUUAAUUUCUUUUCAUAUACUAAAUAUAUUGACUCGCGAGCGCAUAACGCACGAGUGUGAGGCUAAAAGUUUCUCCUCCUAAUGUAUCUAGUAGUUUAGGUAAAAUUAAACCGAAAUCAAGUUAGUCUGUUAGUAGGCUAACGACCGAGUCUAAAGUACUUGAUUGUUUAAAGUAGUGGAGUCAAUUAAUUAGGUCGCUGUCCAUAAAAGUUUUGUAUAGUUCAACUUGUUGUCUUUGAUGUUCAUUGGAAGGCGUGAUUGGCGAGACUUCUACCUAAAGAUUAGAAGGGUUGUAAACCAUUUCACAAAAAAAAAGUUGGUUAAUCAUCUGCCGUCGACCUAGGACUUAACUUACAUGAGAAUUCGAGCGAUGACUUUCUAAAAUGUCAAAAAAGCUCCUCUUUUAUUUAGUGUUUUGUUCAGAGAUCGUUUUGAAUGACGUAACGACAUUAAAUGGCUAGCGUCCUUACCCAUGUUUUAGGAGAUAGGAGUUUCUGUUUGAAAUGUUUUCUAGUCAAUCGCCUGGAGUUAGUCUGGUAGUAGGCUAAGGCUAAACUUCAAUGAUUAGUUUCUUAAGCAUUGAAAACACUCUCGGUUCGUUAGGUAUUCCCUCCUUAGACAACCUGUAAAGUCGAAUUCUGCUCUCUAAAAAAAAUAACCGUUAUUUUAACAAUUUGGUUUUCAAGGUUAUAUGAGUAGAGUUUUCACCCAAGACCUUAAAGAAGGGAACCUCUUUUUACAAUGGGCUUUAAUCAAUGUCUCGAAUCAAUCUAUGAAUAGGUUGAAACUAAAUCCUACGGAUACGUAGCCUGGACAACCCCCCUAACUAGCCGUCUCAUUGACUAUUCCCUUUUAGUUAUAGGGGGCCAAGUCUAGUUAUAAGCUCUCAAAAGAUGUUUUAUAAUGUAAUUGUUUGGAAUUAGUCUAGCAGUAAACUUGAAUCGAAUCCUAGUAUCAUUUGUCCAAUCGACAAAAAAUUUCUCUUGCCAUUCACUAGUUUUUCCAGCAUUAAGCUACAAAAACUACUGAUCAGUUAUGAAAAGAUUUUCGUAAUGUAAAUGUUUUUGUUGAGAAAAAAAUUUUCAUGAUUUUCUUUUGAAAAAUCGUGUUUAACUAUUGUAUUUAUUAAUUA